GUAACGGCGAGUGAAGCGGCAACAGCUCAAAUUUGAAAUCUGGCCCCCCGCGGGCCCGAGUUGUACUUUGGAGAGGACGCUUCUGGCGCGGCGCCGUCCGAGUUCCCUGGAACGGGACGCCGGAGAGGGUGAGAGCCCCGUACGGGCGGCCGCCUAGCCUCUGCGAAGCUCCUUCGACGAGUCGAGUAGUUUGGGAAUGCUGCUCAAAAUGGGAGGUAAAUUUCUUCUAAAGCUAAAUACCGGCCAGAGACCGAUAGCGCACAAGUAGAGUGAUCGAAAGAUGAAAAGCACUUUGAAAAGAGGGUCAAACAGUACGUGAAAUUGUUGAAAGGGAAGCGCCUGUGGCCAGACUUGCGCCCCGCGGACCACCCGGCGCCUCGCGCGCCGGGGCACGCCAGCGGGGCGCAGGCCAGCAUCGGCUCUCUCGGGGGGACAAAGGCCGCGGGAACGUAGCGCCCUCGCGGCGUAUUAUAGCCCGCGGCGCCAUGCCCCCGGGGGGGCCGAGGACCGCGCUCCGGCAAGGAUGCUGGCGUAAUGGCCACCGGCGACCCGUCUUGAAACACGGACCAAGGAGUCAAGCAUUGGGGCGAGUGUCUGGGUGGCAAGCCCGCACGCGGAAUGAAAGUGAACGCAGGUGGGAGCUUCGGCGCACCACCGACCGAUCCUGAUGUCCUCGGAUGGAUUUGAGUAGGAGCCCCGCCGCUUGGACCCGAAAGAUGGUGAACUAUGCCUGUAUAGGGUGAAGCCAGAGGAAACUCUGGUGGAGGCCCGCAGCGGUUCUGACGUGC
rnacentral:rRNA from 1 species